rnacentral:misc_RNA from 1 species
CAGAGUUGCAAAACUCCCACAAACCAUCGCGAAUCUUACCCGUUACGGUUGCCUCGGCGCUGGCGGUCGGAAGGCCCUCGGGCCCCCCGGAUCCUCGGGUCUCCCGCUCGCGGAGGCUGCCCGCCGGAGUGCCGGAAACCAAACUCUUGAUAUUUUAUGUCUCUCUGAGUAAACUUUUAAAUAAGUCA